GAAGGAGAAGGAGAAAGAGAAGGAGAAGCAGAAAGAAAAAGCAAAAGAGAAAAAGAAAGGGGAGAAAGUCAAAGUUGUUAGUUGUGAUGUGAAGCGAUAAUAUCUAUUUGAAGGUUUUAACAUUGACGGCGAGGGUCCAACUGAACUAAUGUCAUCCAUCUCUCAAUGGAUAAAAGAGGGUCUUUACAAGCAUCAUGCAAAAAAUUGCAGAGGAAACAAGAAGGAUCACUACUUAGCCAAUUGUUCAAAUCUUGAAUUCGACGAACUUGAUUUUGUAGUUGCAUUUCCAAUGAAUAAGGACUGGUUCUACGUAAUGUCUCAACCCAAUAGGUGCUGGAAUGAUGAGAGAUUGUGGAAUUUUUGUUGCUGCAUAUGCUAAGCAUUUGAGUGAUGGAUUACAAGUACCAUCAUGUGGAAUUAAUGAUGACGCCCUUCGCUUGAGAUAUAAUUCACUCCUAUGGGAUUAUGGUAUUGUAAAGGCUCGAAAUGGUUACAUUAUUAAUAAUGAAGACCCAGAGAUGCGUAGAACUAAAAAAAAUCUAAGAUCGUUGAAAAUAUUGCGUUUACAACCAUUGAUUAGAUAGGUGGCUAUGGAUAUCAAUCAUAUCAUUGUGAAUUACCUUUUUGUUGAUAAUUUGUAUAAAACAAUUGGUGAAGUCUUAAUUAAAAUGUAAUUUAUGUAGUAAUAAACACGACAAAAUUAUAUGUAGCAACAGUUCGUAUAA